GUUGUGCUCACUUCAGCAGCUCAUACAACUGAAACUAUAGAGAGAUGAUUACCAUGGCCUCUACACAAGGAUGACACACAAAUUCGUCAAGCGUUCCAUAUUUUU
ensembl:snRNA U6 U6 spliceosomal RNA